rnacentral:rRNA from 1 species
CGAACGCUGGCGGCGUGCUUACCACAUGCACGUCGAACGGAAAGGCCCUGCUUGCAGGGUCCUCGAGUGGCGAGCGGGUGAGUAACACGUGGGUGAUCUGCCCUGCACUUCGGGAUAAGCUUGGGAAACUGGGUCUAAUACCGGAUAGGAGCCAUCUUUAGUGUGGUGGUUGGAAAGUUUUUUCGGUGUAGGAUGAGCUCGCGGCCUAUCAGCUUGUUGGUGGGGUAAUGGCCUACCAAGGCGGCGACGGGUAGCCGGCCUGAGAGGGUGUACGGCCACAUUGGGACUGAGAUACGGCCCAGACUCCUACGGGAGGCAGCAGUGGGGAAUAUUGCACAAUGGGCGCAAGCCUGAUGCAGCGACGCCGCGUGGGGGAUGAAGGCCUUCGGGUUGUAAACUCCUUUCGCUAGGGACGAAGCUUUUUUGUGACGGUACCUAGAUAAGAAGCACCGGCUAACUACGUG